ACAGUGUGCUCAGAGCAAGGAGCCUAAAGAAUGGCUCCUGUGUUUAUAACACACCCAACAGGAAUCUGAGGUGACUGAGACCAGGAGCACACAAAACUUGUGGCCUCCUUGUGAACAAAUUCCAUACAUGU